rnacentral:tRNA from 1 species
AGUUAAUGAUCUUGAUUAAUAAGUUUAUGUUUUGAAAACAUAAUAAAGAAAUUUAAAAUUUUCUAUUAACUU